CUGAACAAUGGAAAGAUGGUGGUUUGAACCAUCUUUCCAUGCAGAGAACAUGCAAAUACCACAAAGUAAGGACCCAGCUGAAAUUUAAACAUCCAACCUUCGUACAAACCAUUCCUCAUAAGACAGACUACUGUUGUGACACAUCCUAACAGCAAAUGACACAAGACUUGUCACAGCGAAUCAACCUCCAGAGACUACACAUUACUUUGAAAGUUGUGUUGGAUCUGCACUGCACAUAUCUUUUUGUGUGCAUGUUAAAUAUAUUUUUAGCUUUCUUAAUUAGUUAGCAGAAAUUCAAGCUGGGAGACAACACACAGCUGAACCACAUCACCCACUCACCAUGCCCCCGCCGCAGCCAAUCGUCGUUCACGAGUCCCUUCAAGAGGUCUAGCUACCUUGGGUUUUCCGCUCAUCAUUCGCGCUUCGAUCCACCUCCUCCCCAUCUCCACCUCCAUCCGGACGGACACCUUCCUGCCUCCCUCUGCGCUUCUUCAUCUCCAGGCUCCACUCCAUCACCAGUAUUUGGACCUGGGGGGAAGACUACCCUGAGCUUCGCCCAAACCGAUCACCUGCCCUUGGUGAUCCUCAGCUCACAAGUCUUCUGUCGGGUUCAAGGGCCAAAUAACUUUGUACUAUUAAAUCGUCUAGCUGCUA